AUUGAACGCUGGCGGCAUGCCUUACACAUGCAAGUCGAACGGUAACGCGGGGCAACCUGGCGACGAGUGGCGAACGGGUGAGUAAUGCAUCGGAACGUGCCCAGUAGUGGGGGAUAGCCCGGCGAAAGCCGGAUUAAUACCGCACACGACCUACGGGUGAAAGCGGGGGACCGUAAGGCCUCGCGCUAUUGGAGCGGUCGAUGUGAGAUUAGGUUGUUGGUGGGGUAAAAGCCUACCAAGCCGACGAUCUGUAGCUGGUCUGAGAGGACGACCAGCCACACUGGGACUGAGACACGGCCCAGACUCCUACGGGAGGCAGCAGUGGGGAAUUUUGGACAAUGGGGGCAACCCUGAUCCAGCCAUGCCGCGUGCGGGAAGAAGGCCUUCGGGUUGUAAACCGCUUUUGUCAGGGAAGAAACGCUCUGGGCUAAUACCCCGGGGUAAUGACGGUACCUGAAGAAUAAGCACCGGCUAACUACGUGCCAGCAGCCGCCGUAACAC
rnacentral:rRNA from 1 species